GAUGAACGCUGGCGGCGUGCUUAACACAUGCAAGUCGAACGAUGAAGCCCAGCUUGCUGGGUGGAUUAGUGGCGAACGGGUGAGUAACACGUGAGCAACCUGCCCCUGACUCUGGGAUAAGCGCUGGAAACGGCGUCUAAUACUGGAUAUGUCCCGUCACCGCAUGGUGUGCGGGUGGAAAGAUUUUUCGGUUGGGGAUGGGCUCGCGGCCUAUCAGCUUGUUGGUGAGGUAAGGGCUCACCAAGGCGUCGACGGGUAGCCGGCCUGAGAGGGUGACCGGCCACACUGGGACUGAGAGACGGCCCAGACUCCUACGGGAGGCAGCAGGGGGGAAUAUUGCACAAUGGGCGGAAGCCUGAUGCAGCAACGCCGCGUGAGGGAUGACGGCCUUCGGGUUGUAAACCUCUUUUAGCAGGGAAGAAGCGAAAGUGACGGUACCUGCAGAAAAAGCACCGGCUAACUACGUG
rnacentral:rRNA from 1 species